GAUGAACGCUGGCGGCGUGCCUAAUACAUGCAAGUCGAGCGAACGGACGAGAAGCUUGCUUCUCUGAUGUUAGCGGCGGACGGGUGAGUAACACGUGGAUAACCUACCUAUAAGACUGGGAUAACUUCGGGAAACCGGAGCUAAUACCGGAUAAUAUUUUGAACCGCAUGGUUCAAAAGUGAAAGACGGUCUUGCUGUCACUUAUAGAUGGAUCCGCGCUGCAUUAGCUAGUUGGGAAGGUAACGGCUUAACAAGGCAACGAUGCAUAGCCGACCUGAGAGGGUGAUCGGCCACACUGGAACGGAGACACGGUCCAGACUCCUACGGGAGGCAGCAGUAGGGAAUCUUCCGCAAUGGGCGAAAGCCUGACGGAGCAACGCCGCGUGAGUGAUGAAGGUCUUCGGAUCGUAAAACUCUGUUAUUAGGGAAGAACAUAUGUGUAAGUAACUGUGCACAUCUUGACGGUACCUAAUCAGAAAGCCCCGGCUAACUACGUG
rnacentral:rRNA from 1 species